ensembl:snoRNA U3 Small nucleolar RNA U3
AAGAUUAUACUUUCAAGGAUCAUUUAUACAGUUACUAAAGUUUCUCUGAAAGUGUAGAACGCCGGAAACCACCAACAGGAGACAUAGCAUUCUCUCCUGAGCAUAGGGCUGAUUCUUGGUGUUGUUUCUGCAAGUGCCCUUCACCAUUGAUACUGGUUCUUCUCUUCCUUUGGGGGAGCAAGAGGGAGAAGAUGCAGUCUGUAGA